rnacentral:rRNA from 1 species
ACCCGCUGAACUUAAGCAUAUCAAUAAGCGGAGGAAAAGAAACCAACAGGGAUUACCUCAGUAACGGCGAGUGAAGCGGUAACAGCUCAAAUUUGAAAUCUGGGUCUUUUAGGCUCCGAGUUGUAAUUUGUAGAAGAUGCUUCGGGUGCGGCUCCGGUCUAAGUUCCUUGGAACAGGACGUCACAGAGGGUGAGAAUCCCGUAUGUGAUCGGCUGCUUGCGCCCAUGUGAAGCUCUUUCGACGAGUCGAGUUGUUUGGGAAUGCAGCUCAAAAUGGGUGGUAAAUUUCAUCUAAAGCUAAAUAUUGGCCAGAGACCGAUAGCGCACAAGUAGAGUGAUCGAAAGAUGAAAAGCACUUUGGAAAGAGAGUUAAACAGUACGUGAAAUUGUUGAAAGGGAAGCGCUUGCAACCAGACUUGCACGUUGUCGAUCAUCCGGUGUUCUCACCGGUGCACUCGAUUUCGUUCAGGCCAGCAUCGGUUUUGGUGGUUGGAUAAAGGCCUUGGGAAUGUAGCUUCUUUCGGGGAGUGUUAUAGCCCUCGGUGCAAUGCAGCCUACCGGGACCGAGGACCGCGCUUCGGCUAGGAUGCUGGCGUAAUGGUUGUAAGCGACCCGUCUUGAAACACGG